UCAGUUGCGUGUGCGCAAAAAAUGAAGUUCUGUCCGUUGCUUUCUCCAGUAAAAUUCAUCUGUCGGAUUUGUUGAUCUUGAGACACGAUGAUCCAAAUUUAACAGUUGGGUGAUUCCGAAUUAUCUUCCUUAAAUAUCUUCAGAUCUCUUCAUUUGUCUUCUAAAAAAUUCCCAAAUUUUUCCUGUAACAAAAGUAUUGAACUUUUUAGCACAUCAUUCGUUCAAAAUUUUCCGACCCUUCAUCAUCACCUUGCUCAAUUUCUUCAAUCUUUCUUUGAUUUGACGUUAAUGGCUGCUCCCUUAAAUAAGCUUCCUGCCCUUGCCGCUAACUACGAUUUCCAGUUUGAGCCCUCAAUGGUAAGGGUGCGUAACAAAGAGGAAGAAAAAGCUUUUGUUCGUCUCCGUCAACACCUCUUGAAUGGUUGUACCGUCUAGUGAGAGGCUGGUCACAAUGUUCGAAAUCCUUUCCCUACACCUACCAAUUCAGAAUGCCAAUGUACCGUGAUCUACCCUUGGUACCUGGAUUUGGGACUAAAAUUCCCACCAUCCCUAUUCUUAAAACAGUUGCUUCCUCGCCCAUCUUCUGCAUUCGAGUUGUGAAGACCUCUAAUAAUAAUACACAUCGUCUAACUUGAGUUGCUUCCUUCAAAUGUGUGCGGUCUUCACAACGCAAAACAUGCUUAGGCUUUACUCUGUUCAGCUAUUUCCCAAAUUGACUUUGAGGAGAUGAUCUCCAAAUUUGACCAUGUGGUGAGGAAUUGCUACCCGAUUCCUUAUGCGGCUAAUGCCUUGACAGAGGCUGCAUUCUAGAGCCAGACGAACAAGAUCCUCAUGGUAGAAGCGGCUUGCAAGGUUGAGCUAGGCCGUCAAAUUCAGUUGGAGAGACAAUUGCAAGAAAGGAACACAAAUUUUGAGAAACUUAUAUUCAAGUGUGAUGUUCUAUCAGAGCGGUAGCUUUGUGAAGAAAGGAGGAUCGAUUACUUAGCCGUGCAGGUGGCUCAUCUUGAGGCGAAUUUGCACAAUCAUUGAAGGUCAAUGACAACGCGGAGUGUACACUUGCGGCAGAGUGAAGUUCAUUGGAUGUCGACAGAGCAACCAUUCAAUCAAAACUGGACGAGACUUAGCAGGAAGCAAACUUAAAAGAGGAGAUGCAUAUUGACACCUUCUAGCAGGCCAUUGACGAUAAUGCAUUAGAGCUGGCAGAGGCCCACACGUUGUUUGGAACAACGUUAGCUCGGAAAUACUUCGAGAGAUACGACCAGAGCUUUUGGUUGGCCAGGGUCACUGUGACAGAUGGAAUGCUCACUGAAUAUGUAUAUAGUGAUUAAUGAUUAGUUGUAAUUGUGGUGUGGGCUCCACAACUAUUUUUUUAUAUUUUAAAUGGGGCAUUUAAAAAAAAAUGUGAAUUCCUUGCUUUAAAGGCUCUAUUUAACCUAAUGUUUAGUCAA